rnacentral:tRNA from 6 species
ACUUUUAAAGGAAAAUAGUU